rnacentral:snRNA from 1 species
AAUAGUUUCUCAACUGUAG